GACGAACGCUGGCGGCGUGCUUAACACAUGCAAGUCGAACGGUGAAGCGCCUUCCUUUUUGGUGGGUGUGGAUGAGUGGCGAACGGGUGAGUAACACGUGAGUAACCUGCCCCCUUCUUCUGGAUAACCGCAUGAAAGUGUGGCUAAUACGGGAUAUUCUGGGUCUGUCGCAUGAUGGGUCUGGGAAAGAUAUUGUUUCGGUGGGGGAUGGGCUCGCGGCCUAACAGCUUGUUGGUGGGGUGAUGGCCUACCAAGGCGGUGACGGGUAGCCGGCCUGAGAGGGUGGACGGUCACACUGGGACUGAGACACGGCCCAGACUCCUACGGGAGGCAGCAGUGGGGAAUAUUGCACAAUGGGCGCAAGCCUGAUGCAGCGACGCCGCGUGAGGGAUGGAGGCCUUCGGGUUGUGAACCUCUUUCGCCAGUGAAGCAGGCCUGCCUCGUUUGUGGGUGGGUUGACGGUAGCUGGAUAAGAAGCGCCGGCUAACUACGUG
rnacentral:rRNA from 1 species